AAUUUUAAGGACAGCUUCAUCUUCUCUUUAACGAAUCUGAUCGGUAAAUUCAAGGAGGAAACUUUUGUAUUGCUUCUUCCAGGUACAGCAAGGAAGAGAAGAAAAGAUGAACACCUGCCCUAAACAAUAAAGCAGCACAAGCAUAAGCUAUGUACGGUGCAGUAAACAAAACAGAGACGUAAUACAUUCAAGUAAGAGCCAACAGGAUUCAACACAAAAGAAAGUAUUGUCAAUUUUUCUAGUGGAUAAAAGUUGAUAUGUCAAAAGGCUGAUGAAACUACAUACUGGUCAGGAAUGAACAAAGAGAAUAUACAUGCUACUGGCCCUGCUCUGAGUCAAUGGAUAGCUUUCUAGUGAGGCAUUAAGAAUUAUCUGGAAAGGCCAAGAGGAUGAUAGCCUAAAAAAUGACAGCAGGCUUGGCUUGUAUAACUGAAGCCCUUCAGUGAAAUUCUUUCAUGGUAGAUUGGCAAAGAACGUACGGAGUCAUUUUGAAGGGAUAUAUGGUAAUGGAUGAGAAGAAGCGAUCACUUCAGGCACUUAACGACUGAUGAAAGUGGGACAGUUUGCUUCAAAUGAUUCAGAAGCAUAAAUAGGACUAACAUAAUUGAAUGGGCUUUUCCCCUAUUCUGGGAGAAUGAGCAUCAAUUCCAUCUUUUUUGGAGGAAUUAAACAAAGGUGUGAACAACUGAAGAGAAGGAGCGUGGAGUCCUCUCCCAAGGAGAGCCUGAGUAGCCAGCACAGACUGAUUGGCUGUCCUCCACUUUCCCCAGAAAAACUUAAAGCAGGGUGACACCAUCUCCAGCUCCAGGGGCAAAUCAUAUUUGAUGUAAGAUAAUAUUUUUGAUCUAGUUCUUUUUGUGGUGUAAGAAUUACCAUUUAAGUCAAUUUUGACUUAUUCCGGUCUUCUGGGAAAGGAUUCCUCUUCCCUGAGAAGGGGACCCUAAAAUAAAGGACACUAAAAUAAAUAUUUGUUUUCGUAA
rnacentral:lncRNA from 1 species